AGCUUUGCGCAGUGGCAGUAUCAUAGCCAAUGAGGUUUAUCCGAGGCGCAAUUAUUGCUAAUCAAAAACUUAAUGAAUUCCC
rnacentral:snRNA from 1 species